rnacentral:rRNA from 1 species
UGAACGCUGGCGGCAGGCCUAACACAUGCAAGUCGAGCGGUAGCACAGAGAGCUUGCUCUCGGGUGACGAGCGGCGGACGGGUGAGUAAUGUCUGGGAAACAGCCUGAUGGAGGGGGAUAACUACUGGAAACGGUAGCUAAUACCGCAUAACGUCGCAAGACCAAAGUGGGGGACCUUCGGGCCUCAUGCCAUCAGAUGUGCCCAGAUGGGAUUAGCUAGUAGGUGGGGUAACGGCUCACCUAGGCGACGAUCCCUAGCUGGUCUGAGAGGAUGACCAGCCACACUGGAACUGAGACACGGUCCAGACUCCUACGGGAGGCAGCAGUGGGGAAUAUUGCACAAUGGGCGCAAGCCUGAUGCAGCCAUGCCGCGUGUGUGAAGAAGGCCUUCGGGUUGUAAAGCACUUUCAGCGGGGAGGAAGGCGGUGAGGUUAAUAACCUCAUCGAUUGACGUUACCCGCAGAAGAAGCACCGGCUAACUCCGUGCCAGCAGCCGCGGUAAUACGGAGGGUGCAAGCGUUAAUCGGAAUUACUGGGCGUAAAGCGCACGCAGGCGGUCUGUCAAGUCGGAUGUGAAAUCCCCGGGCUCAACCUGGGAACUGCAUUCGAAACUGGCAGGCUAGAGUCUUGUAGAGGGGGGUAGAAUUCCAGGUGCAGCGGUGAAAUGCGUAGAGAUCUGGAGGAAUACCGGUGGCGAAGGCGGCCCCCUGGACAAAGACUGACGCUCANGUGCGAAAGCGUGNNGAGCAAACAGGAUUAGAUACCCUGGUAGUCCACGCCGUAAACGAUGUCNAUUUGGANGUUGUGCCCNUNNANGCGUGGCUUCCGGAGCUAANNNNNNAAAUCGANCGCCUGGGGAGUACGGCCGCAAGGNUAAAACUCNAAUGNAUUGACGGGGGCCCGCACAAGCNGUGGANCAUGUGGUUU